rnacentral:rRNA from 1 species
AUACGUAGGGUGCGAGCGUUGUCCGGAAUUACUGGGCGUAAAGAGCUCGUAGGUGGUUUGUCGCGUCGUCUGUGAAAUUCCGGGGCUUAACUCCGGGCGUGCAGGCGAUACGGGCAUAACUUGAGUACUGUAGGGGAGACUGGAAUUCCUGGUGUAGCGGUGAAAUGCGCAGAUAUCAGGAGGAACACCGGUGGCGAAGGGGGGUCUCUGGGCAGUAACUGACGCUGAGGAGCGAAAGCAUGGGUAGCGAACAGGAUUAGAUACCCUGGUAGUCCAUGCCGUAAACGGUGGGCGCUAGGUGUAGGGGUCUUCCACGACUUCUGUGCCGUAGCUAACGCAUUAAGCGCCCCGCCUGGGGUGUACGGCCGCAAGGCUAAAACUUAAAGGAAUUGACGGGG